AUUGAACGCUGGCGGCAUGCUUUACACAUGCAAGUCGAACGGCAGCGCGGGCUUCGGCCUGGCGGCGAGUGGCGAACGGGUGAGUAAUACAUCGGAACGUGCCCAGUAGUGGGGGAUAGCUCGGCGAAAGCCGGAUUAAUACCGCAUACGACCUGAGGGUGAAAGCGGGGGAUCUUCGGACCUCGCGCUAUUGGAGCGGCCGAUGGCAGAUUAGCUAGUUGGUGGGGUAAAGGCCUACCAAGGCGACGAUCUGUAGCUGGUCUGAGAGGACGACCAGCCACACUGGGACUGAGACACGGCCCAGACUCCUACGGGAGGCAGCAGUGGGGAAUUUUGGACAAUGGGCGAAAGCCUGAUCCAGCAAUGCCGCGUGUGUGAUGAAGGCCUUCGGGUUGUAAAGCACUUUUGGCGGGAACGAAAAGGUCUGUGCCAAUACCACGGUUCGAUGACGGUACCCGCAGAAUAAGCACCGGCUAACUACGUG
rnacentral:rRNA from 1 species